rnacentral:tRNA from 1 species
GCGGAAGUGGUGAAAUUGGUAGACACGCUGUCUUGAGGGGGCAGUGCCUUCGGGCGUCGGGGUUCGAGUCCCCGCUUCCGCACCA